rnacentral:rRNA from 1 species
GAGUUUGAUCCUGGCUCAGAUUGAACGCUGGCGGCAGGCCUAAGACAUGCAAGUCGAGCGAGAAAGCCCUUCGGGGUGAGUAGAGCGGCGGACGGGUGAGUAACGCGUAGGAAUCUACCCAGUAGUGGGGGACAACUAGUGGAAACGCUAGCUAAUACCGCAUACGCCCUACGGGGGAAAGCGGGGGACCUUCGGGCCUCGUGCUAUUGGAUGAGCCUGCGUAAGAUUAGUUUGUUGGUGAGGUAAUGGCUCACCAAGGCGACGAUCUUUAGCUGGUCUGAGAGGAUGAUCAGCCACACCGGGACUGAGACACGGCCCGGACUCCUACGGGAGGCAGCAGUCGGGAAUAUUGCGCAAUGGGGGAAACCCUGACGCAGCCAUGCCGCGUGUGUGAAGAAGGCCCUAGGGUUGUAAAGCACUUUCAAUUGGGAGGAAAAGCUAAUGGUUAAUAACCAUUAGCCCUGACGUUACCUUUAGAAGAAGCACCGGCUAACUCCGUGCCAGCAGCCGCGGUAAUACGGAGGGUGCAAGCGUUAAUCGGAAUUACUGGGCGUAAAGCGCGCGUAGGCGGUUUUUUAAGUCGGAUGUGAAAGCCCCGGGCUCAACCUGGGAACUGCAUCCGAUACUGGAAGACUAGAAUGCGGGAGAGGGAGGUAGAAUUCCAUGUGUAGCAGUGAAAUGCGUAGAUAUAUGGAGGAAUACCAGUGGCGAAGGCGGCCUCCUGGCUCGACAUUGACGCUG